rnacentral:ncRNA from 2 species
GGUUAAGAUGCCGCCGCCGGUUUCCGCGAGGAAUUAAUAGGGAAUCCGUCGCCGCCUCUGGUGGCCAAACGGAACUGCCCCCGCAACUGUAGGUACCGAGCAGCGCUGCAUUCGUGUCACUGGAGUUAUUUCCGGGAAGGCCGCCGCGCUGUGCAGACGUACCAGUCAGGAGACCUGCCGGCAUGGGGCUGACCUC